GGCUGUGUCCACCAUGGCCUGGACCCCUCUCCUCCUCCUGUUCCUCUCCCACUGCACAGGUUCCCUCUCCCAGCCUGUGGUGACCCAGCCACCCUCCCUCUCUGCAUCCCUGGGAUCCUCUGUGAGACUCCCCUGCACCCUCAGCAGUGAUGUCAAUGUUGGCACAUACAGGAUAUACUGGUACCAGCAGAAGCCAGGGAGCCCUCCCUGGUAUCUCCUGAACUACUACUCAGACUCAAACAAGCACCAGGGCUCGGGGGUCCCCAGCCGCUUCUCUGGAUCCAAAGACACCUCAGCCAAUGCAGGCCUUCUGCUCAUCUCUGGGCUCCAGGCUGAGGAUGAGGCUGACUAUUACUGUGCCAUCUGGCACAGCAGUGCUGCUCACAGGCUGGCGGAGGCCCCCUGUGUCCCCAGGUUGAGGCACUAUGGUGUGAAGUGCAGGGUGAAGAUGAAGGCCCUGGGGGAAUCUGGUGCAGAACUGGCCUGGCUCACUCACUUGUACCUGCACCUUCAGGUGUAA